rnacentral:rRNA from 1 species
GGGGGGGGGGGGGGGGGGGGGGGGGGGGGGGGGGGGGGGCGGGGGGGGCGGGCGGGGGGGGGGGGGUCGGGGGGCGGCCGGGUGCGUGCCCCGUGCGUGCCCGGCCCUUGCCUUUGGGGUAACUUCGUGGACCUGGGGCUCCUCCCGGAUCUGCGCUCCUGCUGCCUGGUUGGGGUUGUCACCUUUCGGCGGUUGGGGCUGGACUCGCGGCUUCUCAGCUUGUUGGUGGGGUAGUGGCUUACCCAGGCUUUGACGGGUAGCCGGACUGAGAGGGUGACCGGCCACAUUGGGACUGAGAUACGGCCCAGACUCCUAAGGGAGGCAGCAGUGGGGAAUAUUGCACAAUGGGCGGAAGCCUGAUGCAGCAACGCCGCGUGCGGGAUGACGGCCUUCGGGUUGUAAACCGCUUUCGCCUGUGACGAAGCGUGAGUGACGGUAAUGGGUAAAGAAGCACCGGCUAACUACGUG